CUUUUAGAAGGGAAAACUUCAUCAGCUGUUUCUAUAAAAGCAGAAGCUAAAAUUUUUGCUUGUGCAUCGGAAUCUAAGUUAUUAAUAUUUUCACAGUUGGCAAGUUUAAUAUCCAAACGCGAUUGAAACGUUUUCCAAUCCUCAUCUGUUACUUGAGAUAGAUUGUACUUUAUUGUAGACUUAUGUUUAGAAUGAUCCUUAAUUACUAUGUUAUUGUGUGAAAAUGAAAUAAUAAUAGGAUAGUGGUCACUUCCAUAACUUAAUUUUAAUGUUUCCCAGGUCAAAGAUGGCACCAGAGAUGGGGAGGAAAUAGAUAUAUCAGGAGCACUAACAAUUUGAUCAGGACCAGUUCUACGAGUUGGACUUCCGGAAUUUAAAAUACACAAAUUCUGUUCAUUAACAAAAUCAAGAAUUAUAUCUCCAAAUUCAUUAGAUAUUGAGCUUCCCCAUGUUUGAUGCCACAGGAGAUUCGGAAUUUUCAUUAAAUUUUAAAGCACAGCCAUUAGAAGGAGAUGGAGCAUCGUAAUCUCUUGUAAGAUUUCUAUGGGCCCUUUGAUCAAAACCUUUAUCACCUUUAAAGGGAGAUCGAGGUUUCAUAAAAACUGUUUUUUUAUAUGACGAUGGACUUUUACUGGCAAUUACUGGGCUGGGGGCAAUAGAUUCAUGAAACGUUGAAUGAUUCUUACGAUCCGAUGGAAUUGAAGAAAGAACAUCAGCAAACGAUUUAUACACUGGAGGAUGAAGUUUACAUGCUUCCAAGUAUGACACACAACUGUUCGCCAUUGUCUGCUUUAUGGCCCUUUGUCUUUCAAAUUCUGGACAUUUCUUAUUUAUAGCAAAGUGUAAGCCGUUACAAAGACAACAGGAAACAUGUUCCUCCUCUACAUUACAAGAAUCUCCUGUAUGAUCUUGACCACAUUUAAAACAACGCGGUUUCGAUCUACACUGAGCUCUAACAUGACCGAAUCUACAGCAAUUAAAACAUUGAACUGUAGGAUAAAUGUACAAAUCAACUGGUAAUGAUGUAAAACACAUAUAUACUCUUUUAGGUAAAACCUGUCCAUCAAAUGUUAUUACCACGGAUUCUGUGUCAAUAAAAGUUUUAUUGUCAUUUACA